rnacentral:tRNA from 1 species
GCGGAACGGUCGGGAACUGAGAAACCAUAGACUUAAAAUCGGCUUCCUAUGGAGUGCGGGUUCGAGUCCCGCCGUCCGCACCA